rnacentral:ncRNA from 1 species
CAAAUAUGCUUACCUAAAAAUAGGGGGGAAUAUAGGUACAUGUCUGGGUUAUGUGAUCAAGCGCAAAAUUAUGACUUAAUUUAAAAAUUAGGUUUAAUUGCUUUGAUUUUCAUACUUACAUUGAUCUAAAAGGGAUAACUAGUAGUAAUUAGUUUUAUUAAUUUCAUAAAUUGUGAGAAAUAGCAAUAGCUUUAAACUCUAACAAAUAUUUGUGCCAGCAGUUGCGGUUAUACAAAAAGGGUAACUUAAUUUUUGUGGUUAAAUAGUUAAUUAAUUUUUUAUUUAAAAGGUUAUAUUGAGAGGUGAAAUUUUAAUAUAAAGAUUAAAUUUAUUUAUAAAGUGAUCUAGAAAAAUUUUAUUAAUAAACCAGGAUUAGAUACCCUGCUAUUAAAAUUGUUUUUUAUCAUACCGGAUUAGUAUUAGUUAAGUUCUUGAAAAUUAAAUAUCUUGGCGGUAUUUCAACCUAUCAGAGGAACCUGUCCUGUAAUUGAUAGUCCACAAUUUAUUAUACUUUUAUAGUUGCUUGUAUAUCGUUGUUAUAUUGAAUAUCUCAUAAGAGAUAUAAUUUUCUUUUGAUAAGAUUUUUAUUUUAAAUCAAAUCAAGGUGCAGCUUCUUGAAGAAGAGAUGGGUUACAUUAAUAAUUUUAAAUUUGUAAAUUUUAUUAUUUUAGGAUUUGAUAGUAAUUAUAUUUAUUAAAAUAUAAUGAAUUGGGCUCUGAAAUAUGUACAUAUCGCCCGUCGCUUUCAUGUUUUUGUGAAAUAAGUCGUAACAUAGUAGAUUUAUCGGAAGAUGAAUCUGGAAUGAC